GACGAACCGUGCGAACGUUGUUCGGAAUCACUGGGCUUAAAGGGCGCGUAGGCGGGCGGUCAAGUCAAAGGUGAAAGCCCACGGCUCAACCGUGGAAGUGCCUCUGAUACUGGCUGUCUGGAGGGAGGUAGGGGCGUGCGGAACUUCCGGUGGAGCGGUGAAAUGCGUAGAUAUCGGAAGGAACACCGGUGGCGAAAGCGGCGCGCUGGACCUCUACUGACGCUGAGGCGCGAAAGCCAGGGGAGCAAAGCGGG
rnacentral:rRNA from 1 species